rnacentral:rRNA from 1 species
UACGUAGGGUGCGAGCGUUGUCCGGAAUUAUUGGGCGUAAAGAGCUCGUAGGCGGUCUGUCGCGUCGGUCGUGAAAACUUGGGGCUUAACCCUGAGCUUGCGGUCGAUACGGGCAUGACUGGAGUUCGGUAGGGGAGACUGGAAUUCCUGGUGUAGCGGUGAAAUGCAUUGAGAUCGGAAAGAACACCAACGGCGAAAGCACUCUGCUGGGCCGACACUGACACUGAGAGACGAAAGCUAGGGGAGCAAAUGGG